rnacentral:rRNA from 1 species
GACGAACGCUGGCGGCGUGCCUAACACAUGCAAGUCGAGCGAGAGAUUUCGGUCUCUAGCGGCGGACGGGUGAGUAACACGUGGGUAACCUGCCUUAUAGAGGGGGAUAGCCUUCCGAAAGGAAGAUUAAUACCGCAUAAAGUAUCGCGGCCGCAUGGUCGCGCUAUUAAAGGAGCAAUCCGCUAUAAGAUGGACCCGCGGCGCAUUAGCUAGUUGGUGAGGUAACGGCUCACCAAGGCGACGAUGCGUAGCCGACCUGAGAGGGUGAUCGGCCACAUUGGAACUGAGAUACGGUCCAGACUCCUACGGGAGGCAGCAGUGGGGAAUAUUGCACAAUGGGCGAAAGCCUGAUGCAGCAACGCCGCGUGAGUGAUGAAGGCCUUCGGGUUGUAAAGCUCUGUCUUUUGGGACGAUAAUGACGGUACCAAAGGAGGAAGCCACGGCUAACUACGUGCCAGCAGCCGUGGUAAUACGUAGGUGGCAAGCGUUGUCCGGAUUUACUGGGCGUAAAGAAUGCGUAGGCGGAUAUUUAAGUGGGAUGUGAAAUACCCGGGCUCAACUUGGGUGCUGCAUUCCAAACUGGAUAUCUAGAGUGCGGGAGAGGAGAGUGGAAUUCCUAGUGUAGCGGUGAAAUGCGUAGAGAUUAGGAAGAACACCAGUGGCGAAGGCGACUCUCUGGACCGUAACUGACGCUGAGGCAUGAAAGCGUGGGGAGCAAACAGGAUUAGAUACCCUGGUAGUCCACGCCGUAAACGAUGGGUACUAGGUGUAGGAGGUAUCGACUCCUUCUGUGCCGCAGUUAACACAAUAAGUA